rnacentral:rRNA from 1 species
UGGGGAAUCUUCCGCAAUGGACGAAAGUCUGACGGAGCAACGCCGCGUGAGUGAAGACGGCCUUCGGGUUGUAAAGCUCUGUGAUCCGGGACGAAAGAGCCUGAGGUGAAUAGCCUAAGGAAGUGACGGUACCGGAAAAGCAAGCCACGGCUAACUACGUGCCAGCAGCCGCGGUAAUACGUAGGUGGCAAGCGUUGUCCGGAAUUAUUGGGCGUAAAGCGCGCGCAGGCGGCUUCCUAAGUCCAUCUUAAAAGUGCGGGGCUUAACCCCGAGAUGGGAUGGAAACUGGGAAGCUGGAGUAUCGGAGAGGAAAGUGGAAUUCCUAGUGUAGCGGUGAAAUGCGUAGAGAUUAGGAAGAACACCGGUGGCGAAGGCGACUUUCUGGACGAAAACUGACGCUGAGGCGCGAAAGCGUGGGGAGCAAACAGG